rnacentral:siRNA from 1 species
AUUGUGAAAAUGUGCAAUUUGGCC